rnacentral:rRNA from 1 species
CCAGACUCCUACGGGAGGCAGCAGUAGGGAAUUUUGCGCAAUGGGCGAAAGCCUGACGCAGCAACACCGCGUGAAUGUUAAGCCCUUCGGGGUGUAAAGUUCUGUCAAUAGGGACGAACUUUGACUGUACCUAUAAAGGAAGCACCGGCUAACUCCGUGCCAGCAGCCGCGGUAAUACGGGGGGUGCAAGCGUUGUCCGGAAUCAUUGGGCGUAAAGCGUUCGUAGGCGGCAAGGUAAGUCUGAUGUUAAAGCCCGGGGCUCAACUCCGGUUCGGCAUUGGAUACUAUCUAGCUAGAAUGUGGUAGAGGUAAAGGGAAUUCCUGGUGUAGCGGUGAAAUGCGUAGAUAUCAGGAGGAACAUCGGUGGCGAAGGCGGGUUCCUGGACAUUAACUGACGCUGAGGCACGAAGGCCAGGGGAGCGAAAGGGAUUAGAUACCCGAGUA